AAUAAAUGAUUUCUUCUUCACCCUACCCAUCUGGGCUGCAAUUUUCCCUAAUCGAAAUGGAAGAUCGAAAGCCAGAAAACAGCAGAUAGAAAUAGCAAAUUGGUUCUCAUUAUUUCUCUCUGAUUUUACAGGUAUUAAGGCACGAAAAUGGCAUCAAACACUUCAUACGAGACUUCAUGGGCUGAUCAAUGGGACCCAGAGUCCCUCUACACUACUUAUGACACCAAGAAAUCCAAUAAUGGCGGCGGUGCAUCUACCAAAUUCUUCUCCACUGUCAGUGACAUGUUUCAUAAAACUAAGGCAGUGGCUUCUACUAGCGUCGUGAAAGUUAAAGAUGGAGCCUCCACUGGUAUUCAAUGGAUCAAAGACAAGUGUCAUAUGAGAAAUCAAAUGGACCACUAGCCCGGGGACCUUUUCUAUCAUAGUGAUAUUCUGUUGUUUAUUAAUUUCUUAAUUAGUUUAAUCCCUUCGUAGUUUGUAUUUGUUUGAAGCGAUUAUUAGGCAUUUUCAUGUAGGUUGCUGCCGGUGUUAAUGGCUGAAUUUUUGCUGUGGAGGCAGGUUGGGGAUGGGUAGGGUGAAGAAGAAACCAUUUAUUGGGAAAAUUGCA
rnacentral:lncRNA from 1 species